rnacentral:rRNA from 1 species
UGAGUAGAGUGGCGCACGGGUGAGUAACGCGUGGAUAAUCUGCCUCUGCAUUGGGAAUAACAGCUGGAAACGGCUGCUAAUACCGAAUACGCUCAAGCAGAACUGUUUGAGGAAAGAGGGCCUCUGAAUAUGCUUUCGUGCAGAGAUGAGUCCGCGUCCCAUUAGCUAGUUGGCGGGGUAACGGCCCACCAAGGCGACGAUGGGUAGCCGAUUUGAGAGGAUGAUCGGCCACAUUGGAACUGAAACACGGUCCAAACUCC